rnacentral:rRNA from 1 species
UACGGAGGGUGCAAGCGUUAUCCGGAUUCACUGGGCUUAAAGGGUGCGUAGGCGGGCAGAUAAGUCAGUGGUGAAAUACCUGAGCUUAACUUGGGAACUGCCAUUGAUACUAUUUGUCUUGAAUGUUGUGGAGGUUAGCGGAAUAUGUCAUGUAGCGGUGAAAUGCUUAGAGAUGACAUAGAACACCUAUUGCGAAGGCAGCUAACUACGCAAAUAUUGACGCUGAGGCACGAAAGCGUGGGGAUCAAACAGG